AUUGAACGCUGGCGGCAUGCCUAACACAUGCAAGUCGGGCGCGCGGCGGACGGGUGAGUAAUGUAUGGGGAUCUGCCUGAUGGAGGGGGAUAACUACUGGAACCGGUAGCUAAUACCGCAUACCAUCCGUUGAACCCAUAUGGGAUUAGCUUGUAGGUAAGGUAACGGCUUACCUAGGCGACGAGCCCUAGCUGGUCUGAGAGGAUGAUCAGCCACACUGGGACUGAGACAAGGCCCAGACUCCGACGGGAGGCAGCAGUGGGGAAUAUUGCGCAAUGGGCGCAAGCCUGACGCAGCCAUGCCGCGUGGAUGAAGAAGGCCUUCGGGUGGUAAAGUACUGUCAGUCGGGAGGCGUUACCGACAGAGAAAGCAACGGCUAACUCCGUGCCAGCAGCCGCGGUAAUUC
rnacentral:rRNA from 1 species